CAGCCGCCGCGGUAAAACCAGCACCUCAAGUGGUCAGGAUGAUUAUUGGGCCUAAAGCAUCCGUAGCCUGCUUUGCCAGUUUUCGGUUAAAUCCAUACGCUCAACGUAUGGGCUGCCGGGAAUACUACAAAGCUAGGGAGUGGGAGAGGUAGACGGUACUCGGUAGGAAGGGGUAAAAUCCUUUGAUCUAUUGAUGACCACCUGUGGCGAAGGCGGUCUACCAGAACACGUCCGACGGUGAGGGAUGAAAGCUGGGGGAGCAAACCGGAUUAGAUACCCGGGUAGUCCCAGCUGUAAACUAUGCAAACUCAGUGAUGCAUUGGCUUGAUGCCAAUGCAGUGCUGCAGGGAAGCCGUUAAGUUUGCCGCCUGGGAAGUACGUACGCAAGUAUGAAACUUAAAGGAAUUGGCGGGGGAGCAC
rnacentral:rRNA from 2 species